rnacentral:rRNA from 1 species
GAACGCUAGCGACAGGCUUAACACAUGCAAGUCGAGGGGCAGCACAGGUAGCAAUACCGGGUGGCGACCGGCGCACGGGUGAGUAACGCGUAUGCAACUUGCCUAUCAGAGGGGGAUAACCCGGCGAAAGUCGGACUAAUACCGCAUGAAGCAGGGAUCCCGCAUGGGAAUAUUUGCUAAAGAUUCAUCGCUGAUAGAUAGGCAUGCGUUCCAUUAGGCAGUUGGCGGGGUAACGGCCCACCAAACCGACGAUGGAUAGGGGUUCUGAGAGGAAGGUCCCCCACAUUGGUACUGAGACACGGACCAAACUCCUACGGGAGGCAGCAGUGAGGAAUAUUGGUCAAUGGCCGAGAGGCUGAACCAGCCAAGUCGCGUGAGGGAUGAAGGUUCUAUGGAUCGUAAACCUCUUUUAUAAGGGAAUAAAGUGCGGGACGUGUCCCGUUUUGUAUGUACCUUAUGAAUAAGGAUCGGCUAACUCCGUGCCAGCAGCCGCGGUAAUACGGAGGAUCCGAGCGUUAUCCGGAUUUAUUGGGUUUAAAGGGUGCGUAGGCGGCCUUUUAAGUCAGCGGUGAAAGUCUGUGGCUCAACCAUAGAAUUGCCGUUGAAACUGGGGGGCUUGAGUAUGUUUGAGGCAGGCGGAAUGCGUGGUGUAGCGGUGAAAUGCAUAGAUAUCACGCAGAACCCCGAUUGCGAAGGCAGCCUGCCAAGCCAUGACUGACGCUGAUGCACGAAAGCGUGGGGAUCAAACAGGAUUAGAUACCCUGGUAGUCCACGCAGUAAACGAUGAUCACUAGCUGUUUGCGAUACACUGUAAGCGGCACAGCGAAAGCGUUAAGUGAUCCACCUGGGGAGUACGCCGGCAACGGUGAAACUCAAAGGAAUUGACGGGGGCCCGCACAAGCGGAGGAACAUGUGGUUUAAUUCGAUGAUACGCGAGGAACCUUACCCGGGUUUGAACGCAUUCGGACCGAGGUGGAAACACCUUUUCUAGCAAUAGCCGUUUGCGAGGUGCUGCAUGGUUGUCGUCAGCUCGUGCCGUGAGGUGUCGGCUUAAGUGCCAUAACGAGCGCAACCCUUGCCACUAGUUACUAACAGGUAAAGCUGAGGACUCUGGUGGGACUGCCAGCGUAAGCUGCGAGGAAGGCGGGGAUGACGUCAAAUCAGCACGGCCCUUACAUCCGGGGCGACACACGUGUUACAAUGGCGUGGACAAAGGGAAGCCACCUGGCGACAGGGAGCGAAUCCCCAAACCACGUCUCAGUUCGGAUCGGAGUCUGUAACCCGACUCCGUGAAGCUGGAUUCGCUAGUAAUCGCGCAUCAGCCAUGGCGCGGUGAAUACGUUCCCGGGCCUUGUACACACCGCCCGUCAAGCCAUGGGAGCCGGGGGUACUUGAAGUCCGUAACCGCGAGGAUCGGCCUAGGGUAAAACUGGUGACUGGGGCUAAG